GACGAACGCUGGCGGCGUGCUUAACACAUGCAAGUCGAGCGGUAAGGCCCUUUCGGGGGUACACGAGCGGCGAACGGGUGAGUAACACGUGGGUGACCUGCCUCUAGCUCUGGGAUAAGCCUGGGAAGCUGGGUCUAAUACCGGAUAUGACCUCGCGGUGCAUGUUGCGGGGUGGAAAGCCUUGUGCGGCUAGGGAUGGGCCCGCGGCCUAUCAGCUUGUUGGUGGGGUGANGGUCUACCAAGGCGACGACGGGUAGCCGGCCUGAGAGGGCGACCGGCCACACUGGGACUGAGACACGGCCCAGACUCCUACGGGAGGCAGCAGUGGGGAAUCUUGCGCAAUGGGCGAAAGCCUGACGCAGCGACGCCGCGUGAGGGAUGACGGCCU
rnacentral:rRNA from 1 species